UUCUCCAUCAUUUUUUUUCUUCAUUUUCCAUUCACACUUCUAUGAACCCAACAUUUUCUACAUCAGAAACUAAGUAGGAGACUUUAUUUGUGCCAAAAGGGUGAGACUAUCAAAUACUACUAAUCUAGUUGCUGAGGUGAGAGCUAUUAGAGAAGGGUAGACCUACUGUUGGGAUAAUAUCCUUAACAAUUUUAUUUCGGU
rnacentral:lncRNA from 1 species